UACAGGGGGUGCAAACGUUGUUCGGAAUUACUGGGCGUAAAGGGCGCGUAGGCGGCCUGUUAAGUCGGACGUGAAAUCCCUCGGCUCAACCGGGGAACUGCGUCCGAUACUGGCGGGCUUGAAUUCGGGAGAGGGAUGUGGAAUUCCAGGUGUAGCGGUGAAAUGCGUAGAUAUCUGGAGGAACACCGGUGGCGAAGGCGGCAUCCUGGACCGACAUUGACGCUGAGGCGCGAAAGCCAGGGGAGCAAACGGG
rnacentral:rRNA from 1 species